GGAGAUGUAGCUUAGCGGUAAGCGCACAAGAAGUAUGAAGCUGAGAGCUUCUACCUACCCUUGAGGAAAAUUUGGAGAAUUUGGUGGAUCUUCGGUUCGUGGUCCGUCAGUUCGAAUCUGACCAUCUCUA
rnacentral:tRNA from 1 species